rnacentral:rRNA from 1 species
AGAGUUUGAUCCUGGCUCAGGACGAACGCUGGCGGCGUGGAUUAGGCAUGCAAGUCGAACGGUAUGGCACCUUCGGGUGUCAGAGAGUGGCGAACGGGUGAGUAACACGUAGGUUAUCUACCCUCAAGAUCGGGACAACCCAGGGAAACUUGGGCUAAUACCGGAUGUGAGCAUCCUUUUUGGAUGUUUGAAAGGUGGCUUUUAGCUGUCGCUUGAGGAUGAGCCUACGUCCUAUUAGUUAGUUGGUGAGGUAAUGGCUCCCCAAGGCUAUGAUAGGUAGGCGGCCUUAACGGGUGGUCGCCCACACUGGGAUUGAGAUACGGCCCAGACUCCUACGGGAGGCAGCAGUCGAGAAUAGUCUACAAUGGCCGAAAGGCUGAUAGUGCGACGCCGCGUGAACGAGGAAGCCCUUCGGGGUGUAAAGUUCUUUUAUAUGUGAGCAGUGCCGGUCAUAUUAAUAGUAUGACUGGAGCGAUAUUAGCAUAUGAAUAAGCAACGGCUAACUCCGUGCCAGCAGCCGCGGUAACACGGGGGUUGCGAGCGUUGUCCGGAAUUACUAGGCGUAAAGGGCAGGCAGGCGGACCUGCAAGUUUUCUGUUAAAGACGUCAGCUCAACUGGCGCACGGCAGGAGAUACUGCAGAUCUUGAAUGCGGUUGGGGAAGACAGAAUUCCUGGUGUAGCGGUGGAAUGCGCAGAGAUCAGGAGGAAUACCAAAGGCGAAGGCAGUCUUCCAAGCCGUUAUUGACGCUCAACUGCGAAGGUGUGGGUAUCAAACAGGAUUAGAUACCCUGGUAGUCCACACAGUAAACGAUGAUCACUAGGUGUCGGUUUCGUAAUAGGAUUCGGUGCCGUAGCUAACGCGUUAAGUGAUUCGCCUGGGGAGUACGUUCGCAAGAAUGAAACUCAAAGGAAUAGACGGGGGCCCGCACAAGCGGAGGAACAUGUGGUUUAAUUCGAUGAUACGCGAGGAACCUUACCUGGGCUUAAAUGUAUAGUGCAUAAUAUGGAAACAUAUUUUUCCUUCGGGACUCUUUACAAGGUGCUGCAUGGUUGUCGUCAGCUCGUGCCGUGAGGUGUCGGGUUAAGUCCCAUAACGAGCGCAACCCUCAUCGCCAGUUGCCAGCAUGUAAUGAUGGGGACUCUGGUGAAACUGCCGGUGUAAACCGUGAGGAAGGUGGGGAGGACGUCAAAUCAGCACGGCCCCUAUGUCCAGAGCUACACACGUGUUACAAUGGCCAAUACAAAGGGCAGCCACCCGGCGACGGGGUGCUAAUCCAUAAAGAUGGUGUUAGUUCGGAUCGGAGUGUGCAACUCGACUCCGUGAAGCUGGAUUCGCUAGUAAUCGUAGAUCAGCCAUGCUACGGUGAAUAAGUUCCCGGGCCUUGUACACACCGCCCGUCAAG